UAGCAAUACAUGGCGUACUGCUCAGUAACACGUGGACAACCUACCCUCCGGACGGGUAUAAACCCGGGAAACUGGGUAUAAUCCCCGAUAGAUCUCGGUCGCUGGAAUGCUCCGAGAUCGAAAGCUCCGGCGCCGGAGGAUGGGUCUGCGGCCUAUCAGGUAGUAGUGGGUGUAGCGUACCUACUAGCCUACGACGGGUACGGGUUGUGAGAGCAAGAGCCCGGAGAUGGAUUCUGAGACACGAAUCCAGGCCCUACGGGGUGCAGCAGGCGCGAAAACUUUACAAUGCCGGCAACGGCGAUAAGGGGACCUCGAGUGCCAGGUUACAAAUCUGGCUGUCGUGAUGCCUAAAAAGCAUUGCAUAGCAAGGGCCGGGCAAGACCGGUGCCAGCCGCCGCGGUAACACCGGCGGCUCGAGUGGUAACCGUUAUCAUUGGGUCUAAAGGGUCUGUAGCCGGCCGGAUAAGUCUCUUGAGAAAUCCAGCAGCUCAACUGUUGGGCUUUCAGGAGAUACUGUUCGGCUCGAGGCCGGGAGAGGUGAGAGGUACUUCAGGGGUAGGGGUGAAAUCUUGUAAUCCUUGAAGGACCACCAGUGGCGAAGGCGUCUCACCAGAACGGACCUGACGGCAAGGGACGAAAGCUAGGGGCACGAACCGGAUUAGAUACCCGGGUAGUCCUAGCCGUAAACGAUACUCGCUAGGUGUCGGCCACGGUGCGACCGUUGUCGGUGCCGUAGGGAAGCCGUGAAGCGAGCCACCUGGGAAGUACGGCCGCAAGGCUGAAACUUAAAGGAAUUGGCGGGGGAGCACCACAACGGGUGGAGCUUGCGGUUUAAUUGGAUUCAACGCCGGAAAUCUUACCGGGACCGACAGCAAUAUGAAGGCCAGGCUGAAGACUUUGCCGGAUUAGCUGAGAGGUGGUGCAUGGCCGUCGUCAGUUCGUACUGUGAAGCAUCCUGUUAAGUCAGGCAACGAGCGAGACCCAA
rnacentral:rRNA from 1 species